CCAACAGGGAUUGCCUCAGUAACGGCGAGUGAAGCGGCAACAGCUCAAAUUUGAAACCUGGCCUUCGGGCCCGAGUUGUAAUUUGCAGAGGGAGUUUCGGAGGCGGCGCCGGCCUAAGUCCCUUGGAACAGGCCGUCAUAGAGGGUGAGAGUCCCGUCCGUGGCCGGCGGUCAAUUCCAUGUGAAACCCCUUCGACGAGUCGAGUUGUUUGGGAAUGCAGCUCAAAAUGGGUGGUAAAUUUCAUCUAAAGCUAAAUACUGGCCAGAGACCGAUAGCGCACAGGUAGAGUGAUCGAAAGAUGAAAAGCACUUUGGAAAGAGAGUCAAACAGUACGUGAAAUUGUUGAAAGGGAAGCGCUUGCAACCAGACUUGCUCGCGGGGGAUCAGCCUCCCUUCACGGGGGGUGCACUCGCCCGUGAUCAGGCCAGCAUCGGUUUUGGCGGGUGGAUAAAGUCCCCAGGAAUGUGGCUCCCCUCGGGGAGUGUUAUAGCCUGGGGCGCAAUGCGCUCAGCCGGGACCGAGGACCGCGCUCCGGCUAGGAUGCUGGCGUAAUGGUUGUCAGCGACCCGUCUUGAAACACGGACCAAGGAGUCUAACAUCUGUGCGAGUGUUUGGGUGUCAAACCCAUGCGCGGAAUGAAAGUGAAUGAAGGUGGGAGCCCCCUCGGGGGUGCACCAUCGACCGAUCCUGAUGUCUUCGGAUGGAUUUGAGUAGGAGCAUGGCUGUUGGGACCCGAAAGAUGGUGAACUAUGCCUGAAUAGGGUGAAGCCAGAGGAAACUCUGGUGGAGGCUCGCAGCGGUUCUGACGUGCAAAUCGAUCGUCAAAUUUGGGUAUAGGGGCGAAAGGUAUGUUGAUUCCCCACUAACGCAACAAUUGAUGGGCUGAAUGCUGACUUCUCAUAGACUAAUCGAACCAUCUAGUGACCACGGCUACUAGAGAUACAGCCAGACGAGCCUUCGGGGCUCCAGUAGCCCCCGCGUGCGCGGGGGCGACACCGUCGGUCUUCGGGGACGCCUUCUAGGCUACCCGCACUGAGCUUCGGCUCAGUCACAGACUAAGUGGCGGUGGCCGCGGACCUCCGCGGUUAGGAUAUAGUCGGCGGGGUCCCUAACGGGGUGCCUGUUCGCGAGCUGGUUCCAGCCGAAGUUUCCCUCAGGAUAGCAGUAACGUUUUCAGUUUUAUGAGGUAAAGCGAAUGAUUAGAGGCCUUGGGGCUGAAACAGCCUUAACCUAUUCUCAAACUUUAAAUAUGUAAGAAGUCCUUGUUGCUUGGUUGAACGUGGACACUUGAAUGCACCGUUACUAGUGGGCCAUUUUUGGUAAGCAGAACUGGCGAUGCGGGAUGAACCGAACGCGAGGUUAAGGUGCCGGAAUGCACGCUCAUCAGACACCACAAAAAUAGCGUGUAUCCUUCAAGGCACGGGGGCGACAGGGGGACAGAAUGUGGUGUCGAGUUUCGAUUAGUCCUAGGUUUAGGGCGAGGUGGCUGAUCUGCGUGGAUUGUUGUAUCGUUUCAACUUACCCGCAGCCGUGUGUGUUUUGGCACGGUCCACAGAUUAAGUAGUUGCCGGCAGUAUCACCGCUGUUCAAGAUAUGAUCGGCCUCGAGGCUUCAAGCUUCGGGGGUAAGUGCAAAAGGUGUUAGUUCAUCUAGACAGUUGGACGGUGGCCAUGGAAGUCGGAAUCCGCUAAGGAGUGUGUACGUCGAGACUCGGGGGUAUGUUGCACACAGACAGCAGAGGGUAUGCUAUCGGACCUGGGGGCAUUUGGCCUUCGGGUUCCGUGACAGCUCUAGAGUGCCCAGGAUCUGUACCUCCCAUCACGGGGUGCGUGACUGGCAGCGGGGGGGGGGCCUUCCCUUCCGUUCACAGACUAGACAGAGCUGGCCGCGGGCGUCACCGCGGUGAAGAUAUAGCCGUUUCGGGCCCUGAAAGGGUGCCUGUGUUCCCAAGAACAACUCACCAACCGAAUGAACUAGCCCUGAAAAUGGAUGGCGCUCAAGCGUGCUACCCAUACCUCGCCGCCAGGGUAGACACGAUGCCCUGGCGAGUAGGCUGGCGUGGAGGUCAGUGACGAAGCC
rnacentral:rRNA from 1 species